ensembl:lncRNA
UGUGUGUGUGUGUGUGUGUGUGUGUGUGUACACAUCCUCCAGUCAUUAGCAUUUCCUUGUGUUCCUUAAGGUAGUGUAGGUUGAAGUGUAGAUCCAGUGCACGCACACAAUGCUAUCUCAUUAGCUCUACUUACUGGCUCAGGACUCUCCUAGAUUGAACUUCCCACACACACUGCAGUCCCCCUCCUUCAGGAGAAGGGCCGUGUGAACUUCAGGCACACGCUGCCUUGGAUACGGGAUCAGCUUUACAGAGCCUUAAAAUAACUAAGGUUCCAGUGAGUGACUUACAUGUGGAGCUUACAGUCCUCUGUGUUCUCCCUUCACUCCCCCCACUCUCAUCGACGCUCUCAGUUGACUGUUAAACACAAGUCCUCAAUUAGUUGUCUUUUGUGCUUCUUUUCAGAGUUCACGACCCCUCAUUCUUAGAAAUGAAGCCUCCACUGUCCUGUGUCUUGGCCCUAGGUUCUGUUUGCCACCCUUCAGUGAAGCUGCUGGGGUGGGGAUAAUGGCCACCUUUAGUAGAGCCGUGUUGUCUGGAGAGGAGUCUGUAGUCUGUUAGUCUGUCCGUCCAAGCUUUGCAUAACCAGUUCAGGCCGCUCCAAGGAUUACAGGGGGGAUUCACGCUGCGUUGGAUUUACCUCAGAAGUCGGUGCUGGCAUGAUGUCACACCCAAGUUGACUACAUUUAAGUGCAAGUCAGAAAACCAACCAUUGUUGACCGUUGUUUUGCAAUACCAGUUGAUGACGCAUUACGUGGUAUUUUGCACAUACAAACAGCGUAGCAACAUGUCCACAGAUAGAGGUUGGACAGUACUGUGUGUAUGACUUAUUUAAUGACACAAAUAAGACACAAGUUCAUUUUUGCUGAUGCAUGGAGCAACCAUCUUUCUGAGUUCUUUCUUUCUGAACUCGGAAAUUCCGACUUCCCAGUUGAAAUGGAACGCACCCUCAGACUGUUGGAUUUGAAUAAGUGCUGGUGGGUGCUUCCAGUGCUUCCCCUGCUGUUCCUCAUUGGCAGGGUGUGCAAGCAGUUUAAGGCCACUAACACACAAAUGACAUGAGACAUCUGAGCCUCAGUGUAACAGUGGGGAUCGGGAGAGAUAUGUGUCUGAAACAGGAGCAGAUAUGAGAACAGACAUAUAUCAAAGUGAUGCUCUUUACACGCACCAACCAAAUGACUAUAAUCCAUAACGCCAAUCUAACCGUAACCUACCCUCAUCAGCAAAGUACUUGAGAAGUUGAAUUGGACACAGUAAGUGAAUAAGUGACUCUUCUAUGAUUGCAGGUUUCCCCAUAUUUAAUGUUCUGCCUUGUCCUGAAUGGUGUUGGAGCUUUGAUUUAAUGUUUUAAUACACAAGUUAGUGGUGCAUCUCAAAGAGUGUUUUUUCCUCAGUGUUGAUUAAUGUUUUAAUACACAAGUUAGUGGUGCAUCUCAAAGAUGUUUUUUUCCCCAGUGUUGAUUAAUGUUUUAAUACACAAGUUAGUGGUGCAUCUCAAAGAGUGUUUUUUCCCCAGUGUUGAUUUGUGUCCGAUUGUGUUUGUGUUUCCCUUCCAUCUGUGUCCGCCCACUCAUGGUCUCUCUUUAUCUGUCUUCUGGGGUGGGGAGAGGAAAAUUGGGUGACAGAAUUGUGACUUCUGUAUCUUUGGGGUGUGUGUGUGUGUGUGUGUGUGUGUGUGUGUGUGUGUGUGUGUGUGUGUGUGUGUGUGUGUGUGUGUGUGUGUGUGGUUAAUGUAAGGGAAGGGGAAGCAGGUCUGGGUAUGCCAGAAAUGAUUUGCUUCAGACUGCUGUUUGGAGAAUAGAUAGUGGACAGAGAAGGGAAACAUUUCCAUUUCCACCCAGCUGAGCACAGUGUUAGCGGGGCGUAGCAGGCAGCAGUGCUGACCAGCACGCUUUUAGCCAGCUACCCACACACACACUUGUGCAUUGAGCAGUUAUGUGAUACCACACACACUACCUGAGGUGGGAGAGUUUCUGCCAUGCCACCGUUGUGUUUUUUUUUUGAAUGAGCGGUAAGAGAUGCGUGAUUCUCUAGUGCCAGAGAAUGACACGAGCCCCGUGACCAAGCGAGAGACAGAGAGACAGACAGGGCUGUUUAUAUUUAGAAGCUGUCUGUGAUUGACAGGAGGAGACGGCUAGAACAAAGAUGGAGGACCGAGGCAGCCAGGGUGAACCCGCUGCUUCUGAUCUCCUGGCGUGUGCAUCUCUGAAUGACAUUAGUUCUCACAGCGUGGGAGUAAGACGUCUUAUUAGUCUGUCCACGUGUCAUCGGUGAAGUGUGCAUUGUGCUGAGGCUCUGACCGGGUGACUCCACUCCACUCUUAAACUCACUUGAUGCGCAGAUCUGAAGAUUAAUGGUUUACGGAAUAAAUGCCAGAUCUUCUGGCAACAACGUGAACAUCUUUGUGUGUGUGUGUGUGUGUGUGUGUGUGUGUGUGUGUGUGCACACCGACUCCUCUGUUUUGGAAAAGGAGCAGUGAGAGUGAAGAGCACUGUGUGUGUUAUUCCCUAUACGAUACACACAACCUCCAACAAACAGCUGUGCUCCAAGGGGUCAGAUCUAUCAGAGUUGAGUCUUGCUCAGUCUGACUCUAGUUGACAGUGUAUGUGUCUGAAGUAUUUGAGAGUUACAUGAUCUGUUGUUACUGUCUGCUUAUUCUUUUGUGUGUGUGUGUGUGUGUGUGUG